GGGUGCGUGGCGGAACUGGCAUACGCGUACGGUUCAGGACCGUAUGGAGCAAUCCAUGAGGGUUCGACUCCCUCCGCACCCA
rnacentral:tRNA from 7 species